rnacentral:rRNA from 1 species
CCGCAAAGCUGAAACUUAAAGGAAUUGAACGGAAGGGCACCAUCAGGUCUGGAUCGUGCGGCUCAAUUGGAUUCAACGCCCGAAACCCCACCAGGACAGGAGCGCUCGAUGAAGCACCGGCCGAAUACCUCUGCCGAUGAGCGUGCAGUUGGUGCAUGGCCGCCGUAGUUCGUGAGGUGACUUGUCUGGUUUAUUCCGACAACGAACGCAACCACAAUGCUCUACUAUCCGGCGAGCCCCUCGCGGGUCCGCAAGAAACUGGAGCAGACCAAUCGCUCGACGGGCUCUAGCCCAAGGCGAAGGAAGCUAUGGCGAUGGCAGGUCUGUGAUGCCGCUAGAUGCCCUGGAUCGCACGCGCAAUACAAUGGCGACCCAAGCGCGCAGGUUCGUCCGAGAGGACUUACAAAUCGCACGAAAAGUC